rnacentral:rRNA from 1 species
UGCCAGCCGCCGCGGUAAUACGGAGGGUGCAAGCGUUAAUCGGAAUUACUGGGCGUAAAGCGCGCGUAGGCGGCUUGAUUAGUCAGAUGUGAAAUCCCAGGGCUCAACCUUGGAACUGCAUUUGAUACUGUCAGGCUAGAGUAUGUUAGAGGAAUGCGGAAUUCCGGGUGUAGCGGUGAAAUGCGUAGAUAUCCGGAGGAACAUCAGUGGCGAAGGCGGCAUUCUGGAAUAAUACUGACGCUGAGGUGCGAAAGCGUGGGGAGCAAACAGGAUUAGAUA